CACAGUGUCUCUGGAAAUAUCAGCUGUAAUCCAUUUUGUUGAACUAUAUGGAAAGCCUCAUUCAAUAUUAGAUUCCCUAAUGUCUCUCCUUCAGGUUUUUGGCACAUGUGCCAGUGUUCAUCUUCAUGUUUACCUAAAUGGAACUACGGAUACCAGAAUGUGUAACUAUCUUGGAAACACCCAGGUUGGCUGAAAGGUCAAAGAUGCCAGAAAUAUCAUCCUCCUUCUGGAAGAAGCCUGGCCAAAUGAGAGAAAGAACCAGUUUUCUUCGAGUAAAAAUUACUGUAUCCAGUUUUCCAGGCCAGAAAAACAAAUAAAAUUGGGGGUAAAAAAUUUAAA